GUCAGAAUGGCCGAGCGGUCUAAGGCGCCAGAUUAGGUUUCUGGUCCUCUCUGAGGGCGUGGGUUCAAAUCCCACUUCUGACA
rnacentral:tRNA from 1 species